rnacentral:rRNA from 1 species
UUUGAUGGCGACCGGCGCACGGGUGAGUAACACGUAUCCAACCUGCCGAUGACUCGGGGAUAGCCUUUCGAAAGAAAGAUUAAUACCCGAUGGCAUAGUUCUUCCGCAUGGUAGAACUAUUAAAGAAUUUCGGUCAUCGAUGGGGAUGCGUUCCAUUAGGUUGUUGGCGGGGUAACGGCCCACCUAGUCAACGAUGGAUAGGGGUUCUGAGAGGAAGGUCCCCCACAUUGGAACUGAGACACGGUCCAA